AGCACGAAAGAUGGAGGAGGCUAACGAAGAAAGACGGGGCACUGAAAAGCACAGAGAUGGCCUGAGCAGUCGUGGAAGGGGGCUGUGGAAAGCCAAGGGUGGGGAGUAGGAAGGCCGUGUGGAGGGGACUGCCAUGAGCUAAAUUUGGAAAGGUCAGGCGAGAAGGGCUGGGCAUUGUGCUUUUCCUGGAGAUUGCCACAGAACAUUCUCAGGCAGAGGGAGACGGUCCUGCUUUCCAGAGACUAUUUUAGAGGGACUGGAAGGGAAGGGGGUGGGGAGACCCAUUAGCAAGCUCUCAGUCCAGGCAGGAGAUGAGGGCCUGGAUUAGGGUGGGAGGCUGUGAGAGUGGGGAGGAGGGAGAGGUUGGGGAGAUGUGGGGGUGGAAGGGAUCAUUUGGAUCUGGGGAUGGAGGAUGAGAAAGAAGGAAAAGUCCACAACGAUUCUGAGCUCCUGAAUUUGAGAGACUGGAACGGCCGUGGGGCCCUCCCAAGAAAUGUGGGAGUUUGGAGGACGGUGGGAUUUGGUUGGAGGGGACAAGGAGGUGGGAUGUUCUAAUGUUGGGCAUGUUGUCUGAGACAUCUAAGGGACAGUCGGAUGGAAAUACCCAAUAGGCAGCUGGUGAUACAGGAUUGAGCCUCAGGAGAAAGAUGAAGGCUGGAGAUGUAGAAUAAGAGUCAUCUAUAUAUAGAUCACUGAGAGACAGAUUCUUUUCCGUUCCCCUUUUCCCUUCCUCCUUUCCCUUUUCUUCUCCUUUCCUCCUUUUCCUUCCCUUUUUCCUUUCCCUUUCUUUCACUUCCCUUCUCUUCCUUUCCCCUUCCUCCUUUCCUUUUCCUUCUCUCCCCUUCUUUUUCCUCUUCCUUCCCUUUCUUCCUCCUUUUUCUUUCCCUUCUCUUCCCUUCCUUUACCUUUCCUCCCUUUUUCUUCUCUUCCCUUACUUUCCUUUUUAUUUUCCCUUCCCUUUCCCUUUUGAGCACAGUAGAAUAGUUUAGAGGGACAAGUGAAGAGACCAGAAGGCAGAAGUUCAGUUGGCAGGCUGUGGGAAAUUCAGUGGAUUCCCAUCUCUGGAGGAUUGUCCCCUGAGGAGGCUUUAUGUCCUUAGGCCACAAGGUUCACUCCUGGCUGCAGAUGCUGCUGCUGUUUCUUGGAGGUCCUGAGUGGGGUCUGUCUGCUGCUGCUGGUGACCGUCCUCAUCACCCUACUCAGGUAUUUCCUAGAGUUUCCUGCCAUCAUGGAAGGAUUUAGCUUUCUCCAAAGUGCCAACGGCACCUCUGUCCCUAGGGACUCCUGAGCCUAGAAGGGGACAGCAGGCAGCUGUCUCUGGAGCUGGACCAGCAGCCCCUUCCCCGCCGCAGACAGCAGGCUCACAGGAGAGCCAGAUCCUGUCCCCAACAGCGACCUCGGUGCCUCCGCGGUCCCUGGACUUUUGCCAUUCACACAUGCUAUCCAUCAAGCCAGAGCUGUGGGGCAAGGAUACGCUGAGUUUGACGGCCUGUGUGAUGGCCUGGCCGUGGGGCCCAGACUCUGCUUCUUACUGGAUGACCCUGAUGAAGCAAUUUUGUUUCUGAGCCUUGGUUUCCUACUCUGUGGAAUAAGGGAAGAGGGCUCGAUGGAUCAGACCACGCUGUGAUUUUCUGCUAUCAGGCACGGGCCAUGAGGGCUAAGCUAAGCAGGCCUAGGAGAGUGAAAAUCAGAGGCCUUCCUGAGGGACUGGGCAGCCACAAACAUUAAGGGCCUACUAUGUGCCAGGGAUUGUACCAAGGUCUACCUUUGGGCUUUAGGAAUAACGCUCCAACCAUCCUACAAUCCGGCUUGGACUCUAAUGAUACAGGGAACUUAGAAACCCAGGAAUUGGGUCCUCGAUGCCCUGGAGAUUCAAGGGCCAAGGGAACCGUCAAAGCAGAGCAGUGGUCACCAGCCAGGUGUCCGGGCUCUGUGCUGGCCCCAGUGCCAGGGAGACGCUUGUGUUUCCCAAGUGGAUGUCAGGGUCCCCUAAAGUCCUUCUGGCCUAGAGGGAGGGGGAGGAAGCUGGGGUCUUCUGGGACUGUACCCCAAGCUCCUGCAUCUCCCUUCCAAGCCUUGGCCACGGUCUGGCAUCCUCGCUCCUGUGUCCAUGACGCUCGCCACCACCACAACGUCCCAAGCCUGUUCCCCACCACUUUGACCCACCCUUCCAUCUUUUUUCUUUUCCCCCCAUCAGAGGCUCCUGAGCCCUGCCUGACUGGUGCCUCCUGGCAAUUCCUUGCAGAUCUGAAAUAGUGGAAGGGAAAAGAACUGGGGGGAAUCACUUCUCCUUACUCUAGAACCUGUUCUGUAAGCCACAGGUUCUACAGUCCUGCUCUCAGGGAGCCCCUGGUUUGAGGGGGGCCUUUAGGGAGACAGUGCCUGGCACUUUAUUAAUAAAGGACACACGUUGCUGGCUCCUGUCUUGAUAGGAGGAAGGCCCAAAGGCCAGUCUCCAGAUGAUGCCAAAGCCAGAAACAAUCUAGCAAUAGUCUCCCGCCACAAGUCACUGAACACAUUUUGGAACUAACCCUUAGCCCUAGAGCCAGAUGGGAGCAGCCCUCCAUUGUCGAGGGCAUUCAUGGCCGUCUUGCCCAUUUGCUCAAGCGCUUUCAGACUGGUAUGAUUAAGAGCAGGUUGUUUUCUUCUCCACCAGGCUGGAGUGUGACGCACUCUGCUAGACACCAGGGUUGGCUGAGCAGAACCUCUUCCUACGUUUAACAAUUGGGUUGGUCCAGGUGGUCAACUUCCUCAAACUGGGCUGACCAAGCAUCGGCCACAAAGGCAAACACGUCAGGACGUUCAGAACUUAAAGGUAGCAGACUUCCAAAAAUGGAAGAAAAGGGAUCAUUCUCCCUCCUCCCAUUUUCUGUGAAUCUGCUUUCCCAAAAAAAUCAACAGCAGAGAUGAGAUCAGACACUUCAGUUCUCAAGUGAUUCUGAAGCAAUAGGAAGCGUUGGGACGACUGGGAAGGGAGAUGGAGGGAAAACAUUAGUCAUGUGAUCAAGGUCAUUCCUACCUGAACGGUUUUUGAAAACUCCCCUUGGUCAAUUGAAGACAAAAAUGGUAAACAAGGGGUGGUCUGUGGGAAACAGGGAUACCCAUGCGCUGUUGGGAGAGCUAUGUGAGCUGGCCCGUUUUGGAAAAUUUGAAAUUAUACUAGACUUAUACUUCCAGGUAGCCAAAGACAGAGGUGAUAGCUUGACACGGUGCCUGGCACAUAGUGGGCACACAGAAAUAUAUCAGCAUCUAUUUCCCUUCUCUCAUUCAGUGAGCCCUGGCAAAGGAGAGGAAAAGGAAGUAAGGUUGAUUGCCCAAAGGCAGAGUAAAAUUGGUGUACAAAUGUGAUAGAAUAUUGCGUCAGAAUUAAUCUGAGAAAUCUGGAGAGGUUUGGUUAGAUUUUCAAGCAAGCAAAACCAGGAGAAUGAUGUCACGUCCACAGUAAUGUCAAGAAAACCAAUGCUGAAAAGCUUCAAAACUGGGAUCUAAGUCAGGGACUGGUGCUGGCUGGGAAAGCGUCCCUCAGUAGAGAGAAGGAACAGACAUUUCACAAGGGGCCAAAGGGUUGAGUUGCUUCAUUCUAAUUAUUUGUUACAAGGGAAGGUUCUCCUGGGGGCAAAUGGGCACAUGAUGUGGUUUAAAAAGCAUCAAUACAAUAAAGGAGAAAAAGUUUCA